UACGGGGGGGGCAAGCGUUGUUCGGAAUUACUGGGCGUAAAGCGCACGUAGGCGGCUUUGUAAGUUAGAGGUGAAAGCCCGGGGCUCAACUCCGGAAUUGCCUUUAAGACUGCAUCGCUAGAAUUGUGGAGAGGUAAGUGGAAUUCCGAGUGUAGAGGUGAAAUGCGUAGAUAUGCGGAGGAACACCGAUGGCGAAGGCAAUCCCCUGGACCUGUACUGACGCUCAUGCACGAAAGCGUGGGGAGCAAACAGG
rnacentral:rRNA from 1 species